CAGAGCGCCAACUCAACAGUCAGCGCCCCUGUGCAUCGCAGCGCAACCUGCGAUGGGAGAGGUUUCUCUGCCUUCGUGGCCGCUUCCUUAACAGAUUCAUGAUUGGCAGGUGGCCUGCGAGCUCUCACAUGCGUGCGACGAGAGAAACCUGAUAAAUUUGCACAGGGACAGAUGCUCAGGGGAAAGGAAAGAGCUCUGCCUUGCACUUGUACAGAAAGGAAACAAGGCAGCAGAGGCAAGACCAAUGGAGAGUACGGCAGCAAGACAGAAAGGGGCAGAAGGCGACAGAACAUGCACGCUGGGGACAUGGAAAUUUCUAGAAAGAAGGCGCAAGCAGAAACAGGACACCGGCGAUAAAAAGUUCCCUUUGUAACCAGACCAGCUGAGACCAGUUACAAAGCCUACCCCAGGUAUCCGACCAGAUGACUUCAAAAAGACCUCAGGCUUCAUUAUAAUCUAAUUUCCAUGCUAAAUGACACUUCCACCAGUGUCAUGACGGUUGCCAGUCCCCGUGACAAUGACCAGAAGGAGCCAUAAAAGGACAAAAACAAGGGAGCCCCUCAUUCCAAGAAGUGUACCGCCCAGUUCCAGAAAAGACAUGGAUAUUCCUCCUCUUGCUUUUAAUGUCCAGCCAUCAUUAAGGAAACCCUAUAUGAUAACCCCCUCACCCCUCACUAAUUGAGAAGUUGAUUUGUGAGCCAAGCUCCCGCUUCUCAAUUCCAUGGCCAUCGAAUAAAGCCUGCACCACUUGACACUCA
rnacentral:lncRNA from 1 species